UACGGGGGGGGCAAGCGUUGUUCGGAAUUACUGGGCGUAAAGGGCUCGUAGGCGGCCAACUAAGUCAGACGUGGAAUCCCCAGGCUCAACCUGGGAACUGCGUCUGAUACUGGAUGGCUUGAAUCCGGGAGAGGGAUGCAGAAUUCCAGGUGUAGCGGUGAAAUGCGUAGAUAUCUGGAGGAAUACCGGUGGCGAAGGCGGCAUCCUGGACCGGCAUUGACGCUGAGGAGCGAAAGCCAGGGGAGCAAACGGG
rnacentral:rRNA from 1 species